UCCCUCAUAGCUCAGUCGGUAAAUCAUCUGCCUGCAACGCAGGAGACCCAGGUUUGAUUCCUGGGUCGGGAA
rnacentral:tRNA from 1 species